GAGAACAUUUCGUAUAUAUCUUUCGAACUUGAUAAGUGAUAAUCUGCGUAAAACAACGUAUUAUGAAAGAUCAAGACUAUUCAAAGUUUUCUCCCUUUGCAUUUGGAAAGUCUGCCUUAAUCACAUUACCAGCACUUAAUCUUUGUCAACAACUGUGAUUAUUAUUUCAACACGUGGAUAUAAAUGUUUGUGGCAGAAACGAAUGAAAGCAUCUCCAUGGAAAAAAAAACUUUUGUGCUUAACAUAAUCUGGGUUGUGUUCCUAUUUGGAAAAUUUAUUCUUGAUGUUUCAAAAAGCGAAUAUUAUCACAUUAUGUUAACUUAUUCAUCCAUAUUUUUUUUUCGGAUUUUGAUAUAUGUAUGUUUUAUUUGGGAAUUGCAAUACGGAAGAAACUUAACCAAAUAGCCACAUGAACUGAUCAGUAUUUUAGAGGUGUAGAUAUCAUCUUCCAAAGACCACAGAAUAUCACUUAUUUAAUAAGCAACACACAUGUAUUCCAUUUGGACAAUUCAGAUACGUUUCUACCUAUAAUGAAUAUAUUCACACAGCACACAUUAACUAUAAAGGCUGCAGGAAUCUAGUUAUUACAAAGGAUUUUUUUUUUCUCACAGAAUUUUUUCUUUCUAAAAAUCUUCCAAGAUUUCAUUCAGAAGGACUGAUUGUGUGUGUCAGUUUGUGUGUAUGUGUGCGUGUGUGUAUGUUUCGAAAGAUGAGCUGGUACGAUGUUGACCAGACUUCUUUCCAUAUUUGCAUGAUUUAAUGCUAUUGUGUAUAUAAAUGUCUACCAUUGUCCAGAGAGAAACAUGUAUUACAUAAAAGAUUUUCUGGGCAAUACAUAAUAAAAAGUCCUUUUCU
rnacentral:sRNA from 1 species